rnacentral:rRNA from 1 species
AUUGAACGCUGGCGGCAUGCCUUACACAUGCAAGUCGAACGGUAACAGGUCUUCGGAUGCUGACGAGUGGCGAACGGGUGAGUAAUAUAUCGGAACGUGCCCAGUCGUGGGGGAUAACGCAGCGAAAGCUGUGCUAAUACCGCAUACGAUCUAUGGAUGAAAGCGGGGGAUCGCAAGACCUCGCGCGAUUGGAGCGGCCGAUAUCAGAUUAGGUAGUUGGUGGGGUAAAGGCCCACCAAGCCAACGAUCUGUAGCUGGUCUGAGAGGACGACCAGCCACACUGGAACUGAGACACGGUCCAGACUCCUACGGGAGGCAGCAGUGGGGAAUUUUGGACAAUGGGCGCAAGCCUGAUCCAGCAAUGCCGCGUGCAGGAUGAAGGCCUUCGGGUUGUAAACUGCUUUUGUACGGUAACGAAAAGGACUACUGGUUAAUACCUGGGGCGUCAUGACGGUACCGUAAGAAUAAGCACCGGACUAACUACGUGCCAGCACG